GACGAACGCUGGCGGCGUGCUUAACACAUGCAAGUCGAACGGAAAGGCCCUGCUUUUGUGGGGUGCUCGAGUGGCGAACGGGUGAGUAACACGUGAGUAACCUGCCCUUGACUUUGGGAUAACUUCCGGAAACUGGGGCUAAUACCGGAUAGGAGCUCCUGCUGCAUGGCGGGGGUUGGAAAGUUUCGGCGGUUGGGGAUGGACUCGCGGCUUAUCAGCUUGUUGGUGGGGUAGUGGCUUACCAAGGCUUUGACGGGUAGCCGGCCUGAGAGGGUGACCGGCCACCUUGGGACUGAGAUACGGCCCAGACUCCUACGGGAGGCAGCAGUGGGGAAUAUUGCCCAAUGGGCGGAAGCCUGAUGCAGCAACGCCGCGUGCGGGAUGACGGCCUUCGGGUUGUAAACCGCUUUCGCCUGUGACGAAGCGUGAGUGACGGUAAUGGGUAAAGAAGCACCGGCUAACUACGUG
rnacentral:rRNA from 1 species